GGACUUGUAGUUCAAUGGUAGAAUUUCGUCUUUGCGAGACGAGGAUUUCGGUUCGAUUCCGGACAGGCCCA
rnacentral:tRNA from 1 species